rnacentral:rRNA from 1 species
AGUUCGAUCUGGCUCAGAUUGAACGCUGGCGGGAUGCUUUACAUGCAAGUCGAACGGCAGCACGGACUUCGGUCUGGUGGCGAGUGGCAAACGGGUGAGUAAUGUAUCGGAACGUGCCUAGUAGCGGGGGAUAACUACGCGAAAGCGUAGCUAAUACCGCAUACGCCCUUCGGGGAAAGCGGGGGACCUUCGGGCCUCGCACUAUUAGAGCGGCCGAUAUCGGAUUAGCUAGUUGGUGGGGGUAACGGCUCACCAAGGCGACGAUCCGUAGCUGGUUUGAGAGGACGACCAGCCACACUGGGACUGAGACCUGGCCCAGACUCCUACAGGAGGCAGCAGUGGGGAAUUUUGGACAAUGGAAACCCUGAUCAGCCAUCCCGCGUGUGCGAUGAAGGCCUUCGGGUUGUAAAAGCACUUUUGGCAGGAAAGAAACGGCACGGGAUAAUACCCCCGUGCAACUGACGGUACCUGCAGAAUAAGCACCGGCUAACUACGUGCCAGCAGCCGCGGUAAUACGUAGGGUGCAAGCGUUAAUCAGGUGCUGGGCGUAAAGCGUGCGCAGGCGGUUCCCGGAAAGAAAAGAUGUAAAAUCCCAGAGCUUAACUUUGGAACUGCAUUUUUAACUACCGAGCUAGGUGUGUCAGAGGGAGGUGGAAUUCCGCGUGUAGCAGUGAAGUACGUGAUCAUUCACGGAGGAGCACCGAUGGCGAAGGCAGCUCACGGGGAUGGCUGCUGACGCUCAUGCGAAAGCGUGGGAGCAAACGGGAUUGAAUGCCCUGGUAGUCCGCCUAAACGAUGUCAACUAGCUGUUGGGGCCUUCGGGCCUUGGUAGCGCAGCUAACGCGUGAAGUUGACCGUCUGGGAAGUACGGUCGCAAGAUUAAACUCAAAGGAAUUGACGGGGACCCGCACAAGCGGUGGAUGAUGUGGAUUAAUUCGAUGCAACCGCGAAAAACCUUACCUACCCUUGACAUGUCUGGAAUCCCGAAGAGAUUUGAUGCUCGCAAGAGAACCGGAACACAGGUGCUGCAUGGCUGUCGUCGGCGUGUCGUGAGAUGUUGGGUUAAGUCCCGCAACGAGCGCAACCCUUGUCAUUAGUUGCUACGAAAAGGGCACUCUAAUGAGACUGCCGGUGACAAACCGGAGGAAGGUGGGGAUGACGUCAAGUCCUCAUGGCCCUUAUGGGUAGGGCUUCACACGUCAUACAAUGGUCCGGGACGGGGGUCGCCAACGGCGCGGGGGGGCCGUCCCGAAACCCGAUCGUGAUCCCGGAUCUGCAGUCUGCAACUCGACUGCGUUGAGGUUGAGAUCGCUAAGUAAUCGCGGAUCAGCAUGUCGCGGUGAAUACGUUCCCGGGUCUUGUACACACCGCCCAAUCCCACACUAUGGGAGUGGGUUUUACCAGAAGUAGUUAGCCUAACCGUAAGGAGGGCGAUUACCACAGUAGGAUUCAUGACUGGGUGAAGUCGUAACAAGGUAA